CCUACGGGCGGCUGCAGUGGGGAAUAUUGGACAAUGGGGGGAACCCUGAUCCAGCCAUGCCGCGUGUGUGAAGAAGGCCCUCGGGUUGUAAAGCACUUUCAGUGAGGAAGAACGCCUGGUGGUUAAUACCCAUCAGGAAAGACAUCACUCACAGAAGAAGCACCGGCUAACUCCGUGCCAGCAGCCGCGGUAAUACGGAGGGUGCGAGCGUUAAUCGGAAUUACUGGGCGUAAAGCGCGCGUAGGUGGCUUGAUAAGCCGGUUGUGAAAGCCCCGGGCUCAACCUGGGAACGGCAUCCGGAACUGUCAAGCUCGAGUGCAGGAGAGGAAGGUAGAAUUCCCGGUGUAGCGGUGAAAUGCGUAGAGAUCGGGAGGAAUACCAGUGGCGAAGGCGGCCUUCUGGACUGACACUGACACUGAGGUGCGAAAGCGUGGGUAGCAAACAGGAUUAGAUACCCCAGUAGUC
rnacentral:rRNA from 1 species